rnacentral:rRNA from 1 species
AAAUUGAAGAGUUUGAUCAUGGCUCAGAUUGAACGCUGGCGGCAGGCCUAACACAUGCAAGUCGAACGGUAACAGGAAGAAGCUUGCUUCUUUGCUGACGAGUGGCGGACGGGUGAGUAAUGUCUGGGAAACUGCCUGAUGGAGGGGGAUAACUACUGGAAACGGUAGCUAAUACCGCAUAACGUCGCAAGACCAAAGAGGGGGACCUUCGGGCCUCUUGCCAUCGGAUGUGCCCAGAUGGGAUUAGCUUGUUGGUGGGGUAACGGCUCACCAAGGCGACGAUCCCUAGCUGGUCUGAGAGGAUGACCAGCCACACUGGAACUGAGACACGGUCCAGACUCCUACGGGAGGCAGCAGUGGGGAAUAUUGCACAAUGGGCGCAAGCCUGAUGCAGCCAUGCCGCGUGUAUGAAGAAGGCCUUCGGGUUGUAAAGUAAGCUUUCAGCGGGGAGGAAGGGAGUAAAGUUAAUACCUUUGCUCAUUGACGUUACCCGCAGAAGAAGCACCGGCUAACUCCGUGCCAGCAGCCGCGGUAAUACGGAGGGUGCAAGCGUUAAUCGGAAUUACUGGGCGUAAAGCGCACGCAGGCGGUUUGUUAAGUCAGAUGUGAAAUCCCCGGGCUCAACCUGGGAACUGCAUCUGAUACUGGCAAGCUUGAGUCUCGUAGAGGGGGGUAGAAUUCCAGGUGUAGCGGUGAAAUGCGUAGAGAUCUGGAGGAAUACCGGUGGCGAAGGCGGCCCCCUGGACGAAGACUGACGCUCAGGUGCGAAAGCGUGGGGAGCAAACAGGAUUAGAUACCCUGGUAGUCCACGCCGUAAACGAUGUCGACUUGGAGGUUGUGCCCUUGAGGCGUGGCUUCCGGAGCUAACGCGUUAAGUCGACCGCCUGGGGAGUACGGCCGCAAGGUUAAAACUCAAAUGAAUUGACGGGGGCCCGCACAAGCGGUGGAGCAUGUGGUUUAAUUCGAUGCAACGCGAAGAACCUUACCUGGUCUUGACAUCCACAGAACUUUCCAGAGAUGGAUUGGUGCCUUCGGGAACUGUGAGACAGGUGCUGCAUGGCUGUCGUCAGCUCGUGUUGUGAAAUGUUGGGUUAAGUCCCGCAACGAGCGCAACCCUUAUCCUUUGUUGCCAGCGGUCCGGCCGGGAACUCAAAGGAGACUGCCAGUGAUAAACUGGAGGAAGGUGGGGAUGACGUCAAGUCAUCAUGGCCCUUACGACCAGGGCUACACACGUGCUACAAUGGCGCAUACAAAGAGAAGCGACCUCGCGAGAGCAAGCGGACCUCAUAAAGUGCGUCGUAGUCCGGAUUGGAGUCUGCAACUCGACUCCAUGAAGUCGGAAUCGCUAGUAAUCGUGGAUCAGAAUGCCACGGUGAAUACGUUCCCGGGCCUUGUACACACCGCCCGUCACACCAUGGGAGUGGGUUGCAAAAGAAGUAGGUAGCUUAACCUUCGGGAGGGCGCUUACCACUUUGUGAUUCAUGACUGGGGUGAAGUCGUAACAAGGUAACCGUAGGGGAACCUGCGGUUGGAUCACCUCCUUA